CCUACGGGUGGCAGCAGUGGGGAAUAUUGCACAAUGGGGGAAACCCUGAUGCAGCGACGCCGCGUGCGUGAAGAAGUAUUUCGGUGUGUAAAGCUCUAUCAGCAGGGAAGAAAAUGACGGUACCUGAUUAAGAAGCCCCGGCUAACUACGUGCCAGCAGCCGCGGUAAUACGUAGGGGGCAAGCGUAAUCCGGAUUUACUGGGUGUAAAGGGGUCGUAGACGGCAGCACAAGUCUGGAGUGAAAUGCCGGGGCUUAACCCCGGAACUGCUGUGGAAACUGUGCAGCUAGAGUGCAGGAGAGGGAAGUGGAAUUCCUAGUGUAGCGGUGAAAUGCGUAGAUAUUAGGAGGAACACCAGUGGCGAAGGCGGCUUACUGGACUGUAACUGACGUUGAGGCUCGAAAGCGUGGGGAGCAAACAGGAUUAGAUACCCCAGUAGUC
rnacentral:rRNA from 1 species